rnacentral:rRNA from 1 species
UAGGGAAUCUUCCGCAAUGUACGAAAGUCUUACGGAGCAACGCCGCGUGAGUGAAGAAGGCUUUCGGUUCGUAAAACUCUGUUGUUAGGGAAGAAAAAAUGUAUAUUAACUAUAUACAAAAGAGACGGUACCUAACCAGAAAGCCACGGCUAACUACGUGCCAGCAGCCGCGGUAAUACGUAGGUGGCAAGCGUUAUCCGGAUUCAUUGGGCGUAAAGCUCGCGUAGGCGGUCUGUUAGGUCAGGAGUCAAAUCUGGGGGCUCAACCCCUAUCCGCGCCUGAGACCGGCAGGCUUGAGUCUGGUAUGGGAAGGUGGAAUUCCAAGGGGAGCGGGGAAAUGCGCAGAUAUUUGGAAGAACACCAGUGGCGAAGGCGGCCUUCUGGGCAAUGACUGACGCUGAGGCGCGAAAGCUAGGGGAGCGAACAGG